UCCCUGGUGGUCCAGUGGUUAGGACUCUGUGCUUUCACUGUCAAGGCCCCAGGUUCAAUUCCUGGUUGGGGAG